rnacentral:rRNA from 1 species
CUGGAGGUAUCAGAAGUGCGAAUGCUGACAUAAGUAACGAUAAAGCGGGUGAAAAGCCCGCUCGCCGGAAGACCAAGGGUUCCUGUCCAACGUUAAUCGGGGCAGGGUGAGUCGACCCCUAAGGCGAGGCCGAAAGGCGUAGUCGAUGGGAAACAGGUUAAUAUUCCUGUACUUGGUGUUACUGCGAAGGGGGGACGGAGAAGGCUAUGUUGGCCGGGCGACGGUUGUCCCGGUUUAAGCGUGUAGGCUGGUUUUCCAGGCAAAUCCGGAAAAUCAAGGCUGAGGCGUGAUGACGAGGCACUACGGUGCUGAAGCAACAAAUGCCCUGCUUCCAGGAAAAGCCUCUAAGCAUCAGGUAACAUCAAAUCGUACCCCAAACCGACACAGGUGGUCAGGUAGAGAAUACCAAGGCGCUUGAGAGAACUCGGGUGAAGGAACUAGGCAAAAUGGUGCCGUAACUUCGGGAGAAGGCACGCUGAUAUGUAGGUGAAGCGACUUGCUCGUGGAGCUGAAAUCAGUCGAAGAUACCAGCUGGCUGCAACUGUUUAUUAAAAACACAGCACUGUGCAAACACGAAAGUGGACGUAUACGGUGUGACGCCUGCCCGGUGCCGGAAGGUUAAUUGAUGGGGUCAGCGCAAGCGAAGCUCUUGAUCGAAGCCCCGGUAAACGGCGGCCGUAACUAUAACGGUCCUAAGGUAGCGAAAUUCCUUGUCGGGUAAGUUCCGACCUGCACGAAUGGCGUAAUGAUGGCCAGGCUGUCUCCACCCGAGACUCAGUGAAAUUGAACUCGCUGUGAAGAUGCAGUGUACCCGCGGCAAGACGGAAAGACCCCGUGAACCUUUACUAUAGCUUGACACUGAACAUUGAGCCUUGAUGUGUAGGAUAGGUGGGAGGCUUUGAAGUGUGGACGCCAGUCUGCAUGGAGCCGACCUUGAAAUACCACCCUUUAAUGUUUGAUGUUCUAACGUUGACCCGUGAUCCGGGUUGCGGACAGUGUCUGGUGGGUAGUUUGACUGGGGCGGUCUCCUCCUAAAGAGUAACGGAGGAGCACGAAGGUUGGCUAAUCCUGGUCGGACAUCAGGAGGUUAGUGCAAUGGCAUAAGCCAGCUUGACUGCGAGCGUGACGGCGCGAGCAGGUGCGAAAGCAGGUCAUAGUGAUCCGGUGGUUCUGAAUGGAAGGGCCAUCGCUCAACGGAUAAAAGGUACUCCGGGGAUAACAGGCUGAUACCGCCCAAGAGUUCAUAUCGACGGCGGUGUUUGGCACCUCGAUGUCGGCUCAUCACAUCCUGGGGCUGAAGUAGGUCCCAAGGGUAUGGCUGUUCGCCAUUUAAAGUGGUACGCGAGCUGGGUUUAGAACGUCGUGAGACAGUUCGGUCCCUA